GCGUCAGCAGCGCGCAGGCGCACGUCGGUGCCCGCGACUUUCGAAGGCCCCGGCGGCCCAUGCCGGCAGACGGCCGGAGGUGGCUAGUAAACAUCAAGGAACAUUGUGUACGUGUGCAUAACAUCUGGAGUGAAACUGCUUGUGUUGGAUUUCUGGCACCAUUCAUAAUUGGCUGUGUCAUCUCAAAACCCUCUAAAAUGCAGACCUCCAGCUCUAGGUCUGUGCACCUGAGUGAAUGGCAGAAGAAUUACUUUGCAAUUACGUCUGGCACAUGUCCAGGACAGAAGGCAGAUGCAUACCGUGCACAGAUAUUACGCAUUCAGUAUGCAUGGGCAAACUCUGAGAUUUCCCAGGUCUGUGCUACCAAACUGUACAAAAAAUAUGCAGAGAAAUAUUCUGCAAUUAUUGAUUCUGACAAUGCUGAAUCUGGCUUGAAUAACUAUGCAGAAAACAUUUUAACUUUGCCAAGAUCUCAACAAACUGACAGUGACAAGUGGCAGUCUGGAUUGUCCAUAAAAAAUGUUUUCCAAAUGAGUAAUGUACAGAAGAUGAUGCAAGCUGGCAAAACAUUCAAAGACUCUCUGUUGGAACCUGCUGAUGCAUCACUGGUAAUCCAUAAGGAGGCCUCUGUGUUGGAUCUUCCUAAAUUUAGUGUUUGUGGCAGUUCUGGAGAGAGUGACCUAUUACUGAACUCAACUCAUGAUACAGAUAGGAUCCAAGACUUCCUAGAGAAUAAUCCUUUGAAGUGUCCUCAGAGUGCCCAGCCACCUAUGGUGACUCACACUGCUAAGACUUGUCCUACAUUCUCAGUGCCUUUAGGUGACUCAGCCAGUGCAAAAUUCCAUGCCACACCAUUAUUUGGAAAUGUCAAAAAGGAAAAUCACAGCUCUCCAAAAUACAGCAUAGGACUAAAUAUGUUCUUAUCUAAUCAGUCUCAUUUUUCUGCUGGCUGUGAAAAUCCCUGGGAAAGGAAGUCUUUUUAUGGUUCUGGCGCCAUUGAUGCACUUUCUGAUCCAAUGGUGAAUAAGGCUUUUAGUAGGACAGAAGAUAAUGGCCAAAAGGAUAGCAACCUGCCUACUUUUAAAACUGCAAAAGAGCAAUUAUGGGUAGAUCAGCAAAAAAAGUACCACCAAACCCAGCGUGCAUCAGGGUCUUCAUAUGGUGGUGUAAAAAAGUCUUUGGGAGCUAGUAGAUCCCGAGGAAUAUUUGGAAAAUUUGUUCCUCCGAUACCUAAGCAAGAUGGAGAGCAGAAUGGAGGAAUGCAGUAUAAGCCUCAUGGUGCAGGAACUACAGAACCAACCCUUCCAGUUGAUGAGCGCCUGAAGAACUUGGAGCCAAAGAUGAUUGAACUUAUUAUGAAUGAGAUUAUGGAUCAUGGGCCUCCAGUAAAUUGGGAAGAUAUCGCAGGAGUAGAAUUUGCUAAAGCCACAAUAAAGGAAAUAGUUGUGUGGCCCAUGAUGAGGCCGGACAUCUUUACUGGUUUACGGGGACCCCCUAAAGGAAUUUUACUCUUUGGUCCUCCUGGGACUGGUAAAACUCUAAUUGGCAAGUGCAUUGCUAGUCAGUCUGGGGCAACAUUCUUUAGCAUCUCCGCUUCAUCCUUGACUUCUAAAUGGGUAGGUGAGGGGGAGAAAAUGGUCCGUGCAUUGUUUGCUGUUGCAAGGUGUCAGCAACCAGCUGUGAUAUUUAUUGAUGAAAUUGAUUCCCUAUUAUCUCAACGGGGUGAUGGUGAGCAUGAAUCUUCUAGAAGGAUAAAAACUGAAUUUUUAGUUCAGUUAGAUGGAGCAACCACAUCUUCUGAAGAUCGUAUUUUAGUGGUGGGAGCAACAAAUCGGCCACAAGAAAUUGAUGAGGCUGCCCGAAGAAGAUUGGUGAAAAGGCUUUAUAUUCCCCUCCCAGAAGCUUCAGCCAGGAAACAGAUAGUAAUUAAUCUUAUGUCCAAGGAGCAGUGUCACCUCAAUGAAGAAGAAAUUGAACGAAUUGUACAGCAGUCUGAUGGGUUCUCAGGAGCAGACAUGACACAACUUUGCAGAGAGGCUUCUCUUGGUCCAAUUCGCAGCUUACAAACUGCUGAUAUUGCUACUAUAACACCAGAUCAGGAUCAACCUCCCUUCCUACAGUUCCUGUGUCCCUCCUACUGACACAUGCAGGCCCACGCUCAGACACACAAUCAUGGCCACAUCACGGUUGACACCUCCCUUCCCAUCCUUGGCCGUGCUGGGCAAUGUGAGAGACACAACUGCUCUGAGAUGUGGGAGCCAUGUGUACGGGCUGGAGAGAAGCCUCUAGGAGCUGACAGCAGCCCCCAGAUGACAGCCAACAAGGAAACAGAGACAUCAGUUCUACAGGUGCAUAGAAAUGGAUUCUGCUAACAACCUGAAUGGGCCUGGAAGCCUCCCCAGAGAUUCCAGAUAAGAGCCAGCUGACACCUUGAUUUCAGUCUUAGGAAAUCCAGAGCAGAGAAACCAACAGAGCCUACCAGACUUCUGACUGACUGAACUCCGAGACUUAAAGCACAUCUCAGUGCCAACUCGUCACAUUCCACGUGCCUGAACAGCCAUGGGACCAGUGGCCGCGUGUGGGCCAGGGCUGCUCCUGAAUGCAUGGCGCCAGUGGAGUGUUUGCGAUGACGGGAAGAAGUUUCCCUUACGGCCCUGUGCUGUAUAUUUGCAGCCAUUAGGUUUGAUGGUAACAAGGCAAGUGGUGAGAAUGGAAAGCGCCUAUUGCCGAUCCCGCAGAAGAGAUUAUGCACUGCAUAAAGGAAAUGAGGCUGAAAAGGUGAUGACCAAACAGAAAAUGAAUCUUUAGGAGACAUGUUGAAAGUCUCCAUGUUUUGCACAUUUAUAAGAUUGUAUUUAGAAGUAAACCUCUCAGAAUCAGAAUCCAUAGCAAAUACUCAUUCAUCCAACUCCAAAUUGAGCAAAGCUAUUGAAAUUGCUUUAAAAAAUAGCUGUGAGGCAAAUGCAGAUUUCAUCUGCAUUUUAAGAAACUGAGUGUUCAGAAACAAAGGAAGCUUUGAGUAAGCAACAUAUACACAUAACAUUACAUCUGUGCCUACAGAAAUGGAUAAAUUCUAUUUUAUUGCAGUUUGGGAAGCAGAGAAUGUUGAGCUCUCAUAUCUGGGAGAAAUGGCAUGGCUAUACAUAUGCUGACGACCCUGUGGAACAAUGUGACCCCCAAAGGCAUGCAUGAUAAGCUUCUGGAGGCAUAAUUUCACAAAAUACAGAAAAUUGCUGCAAAACCAGGGCAUGAUUGCAAUUUAAGGGAAAUGGUGCAGAUAAAUCUAUUUUAAUGGAUAAACGUAGUAGAUGCAAAAUAAAUAUGUCAGCACUUCAUUAUUUAUUCCUUUCACCUGGUCUAAAUUAGAGUGGAAAAUGCACACAAUAUCCACUCUACAAUUGUACACAUAGAAAAGAAAAAACAUUGUUUUCCUAAGCCAUUUUAGUAUUUUGGAAAAACUUAUUCCUAGUAUAUAAUUAAUUUCAAAGUCUCGUUGUGAGUUUCCCUUUCAAUUCCACUGAAUAAUCUAUCGUACACCUUUUUGUGUCAGACAUUGCCUAAGCAAUCGAGUUACUCACCACUGAAUGGAGUUCACACAUUCACUUUAGAUUAAGUGAGUCUCUUUAGACAUGGGUAAAGUCAGUCAUUUUAUUCAGCAAAAAAUAAGUUAGCAAGACUGGGAGGAGUGAUCCCUGUCUGGCAUACAAUGGAGCAAUUGGUGAUAAGCCCAAGCCAAGUACCCAAAAAAGGUUGUGCUACCUCCCAACCUGGGAAUUUUGGGCUUAUAGGCAGUAAUACUAAGCCAGGCUUGUCUUUCUUUCAAUCUAUGCAAUAUGUAGAUUAAAAGGAUAGGAUAAAAGUUAAAGUAAACUUUAUUAUACAAGGAUAUGCUAAAAUUACACCAAAAUUUGGGAAUCAAGUCAUAGAUAUCUAGUUUCAGAAAUGGGGAAUUCAACACAGUAUUUUCUUUAUUGAAUUAAAUGUGCUAAUUUGUGUAAAACAUAGUAGGUACUUUAUAAUGUUCUAGAGAAAAUAUGACAUUUUUAAAAAGCAACAGAAAAAAGUUCCCUGGUAACUUGAUAAAUGAUGUUAUCAGCUAAACAUAAUUGAACUCCUUUAAGAUUAGUUACUAACUUUAAAUAGGAGAAAAUAUAUUAAAUAGACAAAGCUGAAUUUUGCACGAGAAACAAAAAUACAUUUUCUAAGGUAACCACAAAAAUACGUACAGGCCCAGGGUCAAAAAAGGAAAAGAAAUUGGCUCUAAAAUGUACUAGAAUUUAAUAAUCUUUGUGUUCCUCGUUUCUUCUUAAUGUUUCCCGUGUUUUACUUUUAUGAGGAUUAUGUUCUCAAC